GUUGCUACUGGUCAAUGUGGCCAGCGCAAUUACUAUUGAAAGAGCUGAGAACAAGUACAGGUCACCUUAUGCUUUGUCACCUAAAAACGCAUACCUGAUGGCUUUAUGAAGGUGGUACGUUAAUAUUAAGUUUACAGAAAGCGAUCGCUAAGUCCCUGACUUAUGUAAAUCACGAUGUACGCAUUCAUGCAAUAAAGGAUGACGCGAAUUUCGGUUUCGAAUCUGUUUUUUGGAUGCGUAGUAGUUUCGUUUGACAUGCGAUCGCGCGUCGACAUCGGACGCUAUGACACACUCGUGCCUUAUGUGCCACCGAAGCCCCGAAGUGGUCUGGCAUAUACCUUCACAUGUAAGUAAAUGAAUUUAUCUCCUUGUUGAGAAUAUCACGCGAGUAGGCAGCUCUUGUGGUACAUCACAAUCGUUCGAGAAGCGUCACAGUAGAGCAUUUUUCUGCAUGUGGAGCGGUGUUUUUAUUUGCAGGUUUCCCUUCAGUAGGAAAUUGCUGGACAGGCGGACCAGCGCACCGGAAUUGUACUGGCGAAGCCACAAGCAACUCAAAGAAUCUGUUUAAUUGUUGCACUUCGAACAAUCAUGCUUCUACAAAGGCCACAGCAGAAAAACAGCCUGAUGACCGAGUAUUUCUGUGCCACGAAGUAAUCAAGAGAUAUGCAAUGGCAAGCCCUUCCCUGUGUUCCAAAGACAAUGCCUACGCCUAGCCACAGCAGCUCCCUCAUACAGACUCCGCAAACCAAGAGGCCGUGGAGGCAAAUGCAGGCAGCCAGCACACCUCAAACAGCCACCUUGACUGCGGGUGUGUCACCCUAGUCGCCAAGGAAACAUUUGAGGGAAAGUGACAGGCAAUGUGAACAGCCACUUCUCCAUGUAAACAAUACUCUUUCUCUCGGAUGACUCCUACGCCUCACCACGCCAGCACACUUGUGCACAAAGAUGCCGCAGAGGCACGUGCAGGUCAGAGGCAAGAGGCAGUGGCACUGGUGUCGACAUUUACCCAAUUUCUUUCUCUCACACUGAGGCAGCCAGCACACCUCGAACAGCCACCUCGACUGCGGGUGUGUUAGUUGAUCCCUGUUGUACAUAUGCUCAUAAUAAACUUCAGUAAACUUGAACUUCAUAAUAAACUUGAAGGCAAAUGGUA